rnacentral:rRNA from 1 species
UGGGGAAUAUUGGGCAAUGGAGGCAACUCUGACCCAGCCAUGCCGCGUGGGUGACGAAGGUCUUCGGAUUGUAAAGCCCUUUCGGCGGGGACGAUGAUGACGGUACCCGCAGAAGAAGCCCCGGCUAACUUCGUGCCAGCAGCCGCGGUAAUACGUAGGGGGCAAGCGUUGUCCGGAUUUACUGGGUGUAAAGGGCGCGCAGGCGGGAUAAAAAGUCAGUGGUGAAAUCCUACAGCUUAACUGUAGAACUGCCUUUGAUACUUUUAUUCUUGAGUUCGGGAGAGGGAGACGGAAUUCCAGGUGUAGUGGUGAAAUACGUAGAGAUGUGGAGGAACACCGAUGGCGAAGGCAGCCCCCUGGGCCUGUACUGACGCUCAUGCACGAAAGCGUGGGGAGCAAACA